rnacentral:lncRNA from 1 species
UCUUGCGUAGUUUUGUUGUUUCAAAAGAUGUCGCUUAGAUAUUUUGAAUAUGAUAUCGUAUAGUUUAUACGCUUUAAAAAUUUACAACUGCGUAACAAAAUACUUUACGUUGUAAGAGUUAUCUCCCCAAACACUGUUUUUCUUGUGGCCACUACUCCUUCGCAACCGUAAAAUAUUACGACAAAUUUAUUUUACCAAAUUGCUCAUUUCAUCUUAAGGAUUAGGAUAUU